UAGCGGCGGACGGGUGAGUAAUGCUUAGGAAUCUGCCUAUUAGUGGGGGACAACAUCUCGAAAGGGAUGCUAAUACCGCAUACGUCCUACGGGAGAAAGCAGGGGAUCUUCGGACCUUGCGCUAAUAGAUGAGCCUAAGUCGGAUUAGCUAGUUGGUGGGGUAAAGGCCUACCAAGGCGACGAUCUGUAGCGGGUCUGAGAGGAUGAUCCGCCACACUGGGACUGAGACACGGCCCAGACUCCUACGGGAGGCAGCAGUGGGGAAUAUUGGACAAUGGGGGGAACCCUGAUCCAGCCAUGCCGCGUGUGUGAAGAAGGCCUUAUGGUUGUAAAGCACUUUAAGCGAGGAGGAGGCUACUUUAGUUAAUACCUAAGAUAGUGGACGUUACUCGCAGAAUAAGCACCGGCUAACUCUGUGCCAGCAGCCGCGGUAAUACAGAGGGUGCGAGCGUUAAUCGGAUUUACUGGGCGUAAAGCGUGCGUAGGCGGCUUAUUAAGUCGGAUGUGAAAUCCCCGAGCUUAACUUGGGAAUUGCAUUCGAUACUGGUGAGCUAGAGUAUGGGAGAGGAUGGUAGAAUUCCAGGUGUAGCGGUGAAAUGCGUAGAGAUCUGGAGGAAUACCGAUGGCGAAGGCAGCCAUCUGGCCUAAUACUGACGCUGAGGUACGAAAGCAUGGGGAGCAAACAGGAUUAGAU
rnacentral:rRNA from 1 species